UUUUUGUGACUGAGUGGCGGACGGGUGAGUAACGCGUGGGUAACCUGCCUCAUACAGGGGGAUAACAGUUGGAAACGACUGCUAAUACCGCAUAAGCGCACAGGAUUGCAUGAUCCAGUGUGAAAAACUCCGGUGGUAUGAGAUGGACCCGCGUCUGAUUAGCCAGUUGGCGGGGUAACGGCCCACCAAAGCGACGAUCAGUAGCCGACCUGAGAGGGUGACCGGCCACAUUGGGACUGAGACACGGCCCAAACUCCUACGGGAGGCAGCAGUGGGGAAUAUUGCACAAUGGGGGAAACCCUGAUGCAGCGACGCCGCGUGAGCGAAGAAGUAUUUCGGUAUGUAAAGCUCUAUCAGCAGGGAAGAAGAAUGACGGUACCUGACUAAGAAGCACCGGCUAAAUACGUGCCAGCAGCCGCGGUAAUACGUAUGGUGCAAGCGUUGUCCGGAAUUACUGGGUGUAAAGGGAGCGCAGGCGGACCGGCAAGUUGGAAGUGAAAACUAUGGGCUCAACCCAUAAAUUGCUUUCAAAACUGCUGGCCUUGAGUAGUGCAGAGGUAGGUGGAAUUCCCGGUGUAGCGGUGGAAUGCGUAGAUAUCGGGAGGAACACCAGUGGCGAAGGCGACCUACUGGGCACCAACUGACGCUGAGGCUCGAAAGCAUGGGUAGCAAACAGGAUUAGAUACCCUGGUAGUCCAUGCCGUAAACGAUGAUUACUAGGUGUUGGAGGAUUGACCCCUUCAGUGCCGCAGUUAACACAAUAAGUAAUCCACCUGGGGAGUACGACCGCAAGGUUGAAACUCAAAGGAAUUGACGGGGGCCCGCACAAGCAGUGGAGUAUGUGGUUUAAUUCGAAGCAACGCGAAGAACCUUACCAGGUCUUGACAUCCGAUGCAUAGCUUAGAGAUAAGUGAAGUCCUUCGGGACAUCGAGACAGGUGGUGCAUGGUUGUCGUCAGCUCGUGUCGUGAGAUGUUGGGUUAAGUCCCGCAACGAGCGCAACCCUUAUUGCCAGUUACUACGAAAGAGGACUCUGGCGAGACUGCCGUUGACAAAACGGAGGAAGGUGGGGAUGACGUCAAAUCAUCAUGCCCUUUAUGACCUGGGCUACACACGUGCUACAAUGGUGCUAACAGAGUGAGGCGAGACUGUGAAGUUAAGCAAAUCACAAAAAUGGCAUCUCAGUUCGGAUUGUAGUCUGCAACUCGACUACAUGAAGCUGGAAUCGCUAGUAAUCGCAGAUCAGAAUGCUGCGGUGAAUACGUUCCCGGGUCUUGCACUCACCGCCCGUCA
rnacentral:rRNA from 1 species